rnacentral:tRNA from 1 species
GUUUUAAUAAUUUAAUAAAAAUACUGGUCUUGUAAACCAGAAAUAAGAUCUUACUUUUAAAACU